rnacentral:rRNA from 1 species
CCUCUUUCAGUAGGGACGAAGCGCAAGUGACGGUACCUACAGAAGAAGCACCGGCCAACUACGUGCCAGCAGCCGCGGUAAUACGUAGGGUGCGAGCGUUGUCCGGAAUUACUGGGCGUAAAGAGCUUGUAGGUGGUUUGUCGCGUUGUUCGUGAAAUCUCACGGCUUAACUGUGAGCGUGCGGGCGAUACGGGCAGACUAGAGUACUGCAGGGGAGACUGGAAUUCCUGGUGUAGCGGUGGAAUGCGCAGAUAUCAGGAGGAACACCGGUGGCGAAGGCGGGUCUCUGGGCAGUAACUGACGCUGAGAAGCGAAAGCGUGGGGAGCGAACAGGAUUAGAUACCCUGGUAGUCCACGCCGU